GUAGGGAAUAUUGGUCAAUGGAGGCAACUCUGAACCAGCCAUGCCGCGUGCAGGAAGACGGCCCUCUGGGUUGUAAACUGCUUUUAUCCGGGAAUAAACCUGCCUUCGUGAAGGUAGCUGAAUGUACCGGAAGAAUAAGGAUCGGCUAACUCCGUGCCAGCAGCCGCGGUAAUACGGAGGAUCCAAGCGUUAUCCGGAUUUAUUGGGUUUAAAGGGUGCGUAGGCGGCCUGUUAAGUCAGGGGUGAAAGACGGUGGCUCAACCAUCGCAGUGCCCUUGAUACUGAUGGGCUUGAAUGGACUAGAGGUAGGCGGAAUGUGACAAGUAGCGGUGAAAUGCAUAGAUAUGUCACAGAACACCGAUUGCGAAGGCAGCUUACUAUGGUCCUAUUGACGCUGAGGCACGAAAGCGUGGGGAUCGAACAGGAUUAGAAACCCGUGUAGUCC
rnacentral:rRNA from 1 species